GUUGUUGCUGACUACAGAAAGAUUCUUAUAUGGAGGCAUGUAAAAGCAAGGAAAGUGAAACUUCAGCUAGACCUUGAGUUCAGUUUACAAUAUGAAGAUCCUGAUAUCAACAUCUGAUCUGAUCAACACCUGAUUUUCAUCUGAGCUGCAGAGUACCAACAUGUUACAAAUGAGAAUUUUCCCCACAAAUUCUUUGGACAACCGCACCACCACCUAUUUCAUUUGAUGACAAUUUUAAGGCAAACAGCAUACAAAACUGACAAGACAGCAGAUACCCUGGCUAAUCUUUUGAAGGUUUAUGAUGAGCAGGAACUGCAUGAUGUCAGUUCAUGAUGGACUACUGUUAUCAGAGGUCUUUUGGUCUUGCUGCGUGAGCGUGACUGGGGAUUCUUUAGGACCACCCUGAUUAAUAAUCCUGAAGCGCUGACUGAAGAUGCUUUAUUGGCCCUGCAGUCACUGAGGGUCUCUGCUGUCCUGAAGAAUGAAUUGGACACCACCCACAGCACACUUCCAGACCUUUUUUGUCUUGUUUGGAUUAAUGUAUGCUCUUCACAUAAUAUAUAGUAAAGGACUUUGAACUUGUACAAAAAGUUUUGCUUGGCAUGGAUGAUAGAAAAUAGAAAGUCGAUUAGCAUAGAAUCCUUAAAGAAUGAGUUGAUGUAGAGCCUUUUUUUGUACUCAAUAAAGACUGUCACUGGGGUAGUA